rnacentral:rRNA from 1 species
AGUGGCAGACGGGUGAGUAAUGUAUAGGAAUCUACCUAGUAGUACGGAAUAAUUGUUGGAAACGGCAACUAAUACCGUAUACGCCCUACGGGGGAAUGAUUUAUCGCUAUUAGAUGAGCCUAUAUUAGAUUAGCUAGUUGGUAAGGUAAUGGCUUACCAAGGCAAUGAUCUAUAGCUGAUCUGAGAGGAUGAUCAGCCACACUGGAACUGAGAUACGGUCCAGACUCCUACGGGAGGCAGCAGUGGGGAAUAUUGGACAAUGGGCGAAAGCCUGAUCCAGCCAUGCCGCAUGAGUGAAGAAGGCCUUUGGGUUGUAAAGCUCUUUCGGUGAGGAAGAUAAUGACGGUACUCACAGAAGAAGUCCUGGCUAACUCCGUGCCAGCAGCCGCGGUAAUACGGAGAGGGCUAGCGUUAUUCGGAAUUAUUGGGCGUAAAGAGCGCGUANGCUGGUUAGUAAGUUAAAAGUGAAAUCCCAAAGCUCAACUUUGGAAUUGCUUUUAAAACUGCUAACCUAGAGAUUGAAAGAGGAUAGAGGAAUUCCUAGUGUA